UACGUAACGCAUAGUGUCUAUUUACGUCAAAAUUUUUAGGUUAUUCUAGUUUUUGAGGUUUGUUUUCUUUAUUUAUGGUUGUAUUCGAUUAAUAUCAUCUUACAAUGGAUUACAGUAGUAAAGAGUAAUUUGAUAAUUAUAUCAAUGAGCAAAGUAGAAUAAGUACCAGAAAAGUGAUACGGGAUUCCCAAAAUCCCUUUGAUUAUUACAAUUCAGACGAAUUUAGUUUAGGUUUUUCAAAGAUGGGGUACUUUUCAUACUUUUACCACUGAUAAAAGAAGAACUGAGGAAAUUAACUGCGAGAGGCCUUCCAGUGCCACCUAUAUACCUACAUAUGUAUCAGUUGCUAGUGGCAAAUGAAACAAAAAUUUUUAUGAAGUUUUAUUUUCAUCAAAUCAAUCGUUCUAAAAAAUUAUUUUCUCUUGCUAUCAAAGGGCGUAGCAGGAUAGUCUUGGAAAAAGUGCCCCCAAAGCUUGAAGCUCGAAACUGUGGUCAAACGAUACUUUGUAUAAAGAUAGUAUAUUGUGCAAAAUUUCACCCCCCCAACACCCCCCAGGGAGCCACGCCACCCAUCUAUACCUAAAACUGUUUUAGUUUUUUUCUCCAAAACUAUGUAACUGACGAAUUCAAAUUUUUGCACAGGUAUAGUUGUGUCUCAUAGUAAUAAUAUAAAAAAAUAACAGCUCUAUAACUACCUUCCAUAAUGGAAAAAAAUAAAAAAUAAAAAUUGUAACACCCUGUAUAAUGAUUUCCUUUGGUAGUACAAUCACAGAUUUUUUUUAAAAUGAGUGCCAACAUUCAACCUACGUAAUCCCAAAGUUUUGUCUAUCUAGCUAAGGUGCAACAUAGCUUAAUUAAUUAUAAAUAAAACUCUUAGGCAAUAUUUGAACUAAUAUGUGAUUUCGAAUAGAAUUUAGAAAGGCUUGUCACAUGGAACGCAUUGAGAAAUGUCUCAUUUCGCAUAGCGUUGCUGCUUUACACAGGUAAGUAUCGUUUGUGAAUACGGGUGUAUAGUUAAAUUUUAUGUAAGUACGAAAAUUAUAGCAGUCAUGAAUUGACCAUGACCGUGAUCAUACCAGUGAAAGAUUUAUUAGUAUUAAAGCAUACUUAUCUAAGUGCAGAUUUAGUAGACAGUGCCUAUUAUUAUGUAAGGUUCAGGUGGUAUGACCUAAUUUAGAUUCCUUGACAAGCUAUAUUUACUGAAUCACGCGAGAGUGGUAAUAAUUUGAGUGCCAAGUACUUAAUGAUUUAUCAGACUAUCCAAAUUUUAAUGUAUAUCACGUUAUUGUAAUGUAAUUGUGACGCAUUUUCAUCUGUAACAACAAUAACACAAAGUGCACAUGUGUUUUUGUAUGAAUAACAAAUUGUCUUGUAUAUAGGUAGGUAGCUUGGGUGAAUACUCUUUAUUUAAGGUAUACAAAUGAACCAAAAUAUUCGUUCGGCCAUGCUUAGGGUAGGGGUACACCAACCCGAAUAAAUUUCAAAAUGAGUAGUCGCUAAUCACUUGAAAUAUAUUUUUAAAAUUUUACAAUUAUUUUUAUUAAUGGAAGGUAAAUCUCGGAAUCGGUUAUUUUGUAUGUCAGAAACUACAGGCCACAUAAUAGUAUUCGAUACUGGUCACAAUUGAAGGGGUGAGUGGACAAAGGUCUUAACUAACAAAAUGAGUUAUGAGUGUUUGAAAAUGUUGAUCUGCUCAUACCACAUUUGAAUCCUGAAAUGUAUGAAUGCUUGUCAGAUAACACCUUUGUUAAGGUUUGACACGUAACAAAAUUGCGUGUUUUGAGCUCAUUAGUCGAUUUUAUCAUCACUUAAAACCUAUGUUCAUGCAAAAAAGUAGAUUCUUCAGUUUUGUCAGAUAACACCUUUGUCCACUCACCCCUUAAAUUAACCACUCUUGUCCUAAUAUGCGUAAAUAAUCUAGAAUUUUUGAAAUAAAUAAAAAACCUUAUUUUGCGGAUAUUAAGGUGGCAUUGUAAAUUACUCGGUUCCCGAGCCCUUGUCUUCAUCUUAUUGUAAAUAUUUUUUAUUUUCUUCUUUCGUUCAUCUUACUAAACGCUUAGAAUUAUGUUGCUGCAAGCCAAUUUAAAGAUAAAUAUUUAAUAUUAUUGUUCAAUUGGCGUUUUCUAGUUCAUAACAAGUAUUAAAAAUAGUCAAAUUACCUUAACGAAAAUGUUGUACAAUAGGUACGAAUGUAUGUAUAUUAGGUAUAUUCUAUGUUUUUCAGUAUAAAACUGUUUUAAUCUCAACUAGUAGGUAAAAAAUAAUUUGUAUGACAUCAGUGACACAGUGGGCACAAAAAGUUAAAUAUGUGGUUACAAUAGUUUUGCAGCAAAAUUUAGUCUAAUUUAGUGUGAUGCCUAAAACUCCUUUCUAGUAAAAUACACAUUUUACUUGUUUAAAUUAGAGCCCGUAUCAAGUAGGUCAAGGGACACUAUUAUUUUUAUUCUAGUGUUUUCCCCCUAUACUUUAAGAUACCUAAUUAUUGCCAUGUUCAUCAUUUAUUAUUACAUAAUGUGCUAUGUGCGAGGAAUUUCAUUCGUCCAUCUUGUUUACUGGUUCACAUACAAAACACGUAUAACAGGUGUAUAAGACAAUGGAUCAGACCUUGAAACUAUUUAUUUAGACUGAUAUGAUUACACGAAAAUGCUUAUAAAUUCCGGCUUUUUGAAAAAAUAAUCUGCUUCCUCGAAGUUUUUUGUUUAUAUUUUUUCACAAUAAUUGUCACAAUUUGGAUUGCUUACGUCGUUCCAAAAUGGUUAAAUUACCUUGUACCUACCCAAUAAUGUAAUUGUACCUAUGUGCAAAAAUAUUUACGUUACCUCUUAGUGCAAGUGAAAGUUACCAAUCGAUGCCAUUUACCUAAGGGUACCAAUUUAUUUUAACUAUGUCCCUGUGAUAUAAUUGAAAUUGAAGACUUCAGUGAUAUUUCUCUGACAAAAAUGUACAAAAUGUUUCGUUCCAAAAUCAACAACUUUAAAAAGCUACUUUUGGACGGACACUCAAAAAGAAAAAUAUUGCUGAAUUGAUUUUUUGGGAUAAAAUAAUUUUAUGAAUUUUAUACCGAUACAUAGUUGCUUUUAAAUUAUAAAAUAAAUACAUUGCGUGCCUAUUGGUCCAUGGGCGGAUAUCGACGAUUUAAUGGUUCCAAAAUGUCCUAUAUCAUAAUCUAUUCUAACAUUUUAUUGCAACCAAUGGUAGGUACUACACAAAGUUAGUACUUGUUUGGGGAAAAUUAAGUGUCACCUCUAAUGUAUUACCUUCAAUUGAAGGUGGUUUUUCUUAUCACUAUUGCAUGUCAUUUAGCAAUUAAAUGUAAACCGAUUAAAAAGAAAAAUAAAUUCACUACAAUAAACGCGUUUGACGCACAAUUAAUUAAUUAGCUAGGUAGGUAAAUAAUAAUUAAACGAUUUAAAAAAUAAAAAUAUUUAUAAGACAUUUUAUAAAUAAAAUAAACACAAUUCACAGCUAUCAGUUUAUUAUCACAUUACAGCUUUUAUUGCUUACUGUAUUUAUAAUGUUUUGUGUGUAAUAACUACAUUUUGCUAGCGAUAAUUUAAUUUUACGAGAUGUGUAAUUGAUCACAGUAAUGGAUUGUACUUUUUUAAUUAAGUGUGAAAUGUCUUAAGAAAUUAAUAAUUAGUUUGCCUAUGUAACUUAUGCCUACAGUUUUUUUCACAACUGGUACUGAGUUUGUACUUUUUUAUUAUUUUUAAAUAAACUAUUUAUUUUUA